GGCCCUGUGGCGCAACGUUCAACGCGUCUGAUUUCAAAUCAGAAGAUUCCAGGUUCAAAUCCUGGCAGGGUCG
rnacentral:tRNA from 1 species